CAAGCUGAAGAAAUCCAUUUUAUGGCACUUUUCUCAAUUUCAAAUCAGCCAGUGUUUCCUGAAGCAGAACACAAAUAAAUAUGCCUAUAAUUAAUUUUCAUGGCACUUUUCAUGAACUGGAAAUUGUGUAAAUGUUUGUGUGCUUUGUGGAUCAGUGCCUAGCUGUUUUGUUUACCAGAAAUAACCUUAGAUACUCACACAAAGAAACCCCAAAGACUGCUAUGCAACCUAUAUGGCCAAGUCACUACUUCAAAUGAAGUACUUUAAAAUACAGAUUUGUCCUGUGAGGAUACCAGCACUAUCCCCAGCUGUCUGGAUCCAGAGAAAUCAUCUCCCACACUGGAGCACUCAGCCUCAUGUCGUGGAAAGAAGCCAUCAGGAAGAGUAAGAUUACAAGCCAGCGUAAGGACAGGAAAGGAAAGCUUAAGCAGAACGUACUUCUCCAAACUGAAACCUGGCUGAUGCUCAAGAGUUAAUAUUUCCACCCAUGCAAAAAAUUAACUGCCAUGGGAUCUUGAACAAUAGUAACCGGUCCCCAUGUUACUCUUGUAUCCCAUUGGAAAGACAGUACUUUAAACAGUGCUGUGCACUCUGAUAGCAGGGCAUAAAUUCAAUAUUGACAGAAGGAAGCUUGCCACCUACUGAAUCACCACCUGAGUCACACCAUUGCUGAACUACAUAUUACGGAGCUGGAAGCUUGCACUGUCAUGGAAACCACUGAUGAUGAUGCUAUACCAAGGUCUGAGAAAAGGGAACUUCACAGGUUUCAGGUUUUCUGUCUUGUGGAUCCCUAGCACAGGAAACACACAGUGUACAUAACAGGCUAUAAAGUCUACAUUUAGUAUAAACCACAGAGCUUGACACACAUGAGACUUGAGCAAAUAGUUUCCAUUUUCUGUAAUAGUGAUAGUGUAUACAACUUCUACCUGUAAAUGUAAAAUACAAACUUGGAUUAUCCAAACAUCCGCUUG
ensembl:lncRNA